UUAUUUAAUUUUAAACAAAAUUUAAAACAUUUUGUACAAAAUGAAAAUAUUUUUAAGUAUUAAAAAAUUAUGGAUAUAUCAAGAUGGAUGUGAAAUAGGAGGUGUUUUCCAUAAAGAAAACGAAGAAACGAAUUAGUAAGAUAGCUUCUUUCUCUAACUUAAAAUGUGUUAGAGAGAAAGUGCCAUACUGACUCGUUUCUUGUUCUUUUUUUAUGGAAAACAUCUCCACCUAGAGUAGCAAAUGGGAAGCUAUGGUGCGUCAAAGCAAAUUCCCACUCCGCCCUCUGGCGCCAGAGGCAUUGCCUAAAUAGGUGAAGGAAAGGGGUCAGACUGUUUUCCUAACUUCUGAUUAACUAAUGUUUGGGAAGGGGGGAUAAUUUAACAAGGGAACCUCGCAAACCCGAAAAUUCUGAUUUUAAUGAAACUUGGCAUAAAUGUAGAGAGGGUAAAUACAUGAAUUUAGAAAUUUUUUGUUUGGGCUUAUAAACGCUUUAUAGGGUUGAAACCAUCCUUCAAAGAUAAAGACAUUUUUAUUUUUUCUGGAUAUAUCUCGUAAAUCAAACGAGAUAUAAAAAAAUAUUUUAUACAAAAGUUUUACAGUAUAAAUACCUCUGUUUAAUGCUAUUUAUGCCGUUUAAUGCCGUUUAUGCUAUUUAUUAAAAAAAAUUUUUUUUUCAAAGUGAAUAGCAUAGUUAAAUAGAGGUAUUUAUGCUGUAAAACUUUUGUAUGAAAUAUCUUUUGAUAUUUUGUUUAGUUUACGAGAUCGAGAAAAGGCAAAAACCUUCAACUUUUGAAGGGUAUUUUCAACUCUUUAAACCGUUUAUAAGCUCAAACGAAAAAUGUCUAAAUUCAUGUAUUUACCCCCUCUACGUUUAUGUCAAGUUUUGUUAAAAUCAGAAUUUUCGGAUUCGCGAGAUUUCUUUUUAAGUCAUGAGUCGGGUCGUUCUGAUUGGCAAGCACCAUAUUCAUCUAAAGAGCUAAUUGGAUUGCAUCGAGAGCGCCUCAAAUGCACACAGUGUAAAACCGAUAUCACCAGUCAGAUUACUGCUUUAGUUAAAGUUAGGAUAAUUUUGAUUGGUGGUAUCCGUUUUAUACUGUGCGCAUCUGGGACUUGCACAAAGAAAAUUAGUCGGAUUUUCAUUAAGAUGUAAGUGUUGGGGCCGGGAAAAAUGAAGGCUAGGAACAUGUAAGAUUUUUGGACGUCAGGAGGUGGGACUAAAAGAAAUACCUGAAUGUGCAGUUUUUUUGUGCGCAUAUUAUUGAAAGGAGAGUGGGGAUGAGGGAAAUUCAGGUCGAAUUUUGCUUGAAACGAGGACGGAGGAAAUUCAGAAUAAGAAAAAGUAAGGACAAAGGGUGACAAGUAAAUAAGAUAAAGUAUAAACGCUUGUUUUUAUUGUUGGAAAAUAUGUAAUUUGGAAAUUUGUUAAUUUUUUUUUCAUGUAGACUUGACUAACAUAAGUAAAACGGCUUGUCUGAGCGUAGUCGGUCUUUCUUUUACUAAAUAGAAUAAUUUUUUUCUCUUCAUUGGAUAACGGUUUUUUGAUAUUUACUUGUUCGCUUUGAACAUUCUCUGCUUGUUUUUCUUCUUGUUCCUCAUCGCUUUUAUCUGUAUAAUCGUUAGAAAGACUAGAGUGGCACGAGCGACGGAUGUUUAACCAACGUUUCAAUUUGUAAGAGUUGCGUAACGCACAAAGAAAUUUAAUGUUAGCGCGAAAUCCGUGAUGACUGCAACGGUGACGAGUGAAUCCCAAAUGCGCACAGUGUAAAACGGAGAUCACCAAUCGAACUCUAUAAAUUUAUCCCAACUUGAACUAAAGCAGUAAUCCGAUUGGUGGUGUUUUACAUUGUGUGCAUCUGGGACGAUCCUACGGUGACUGUGCUUGUCGGCAUCAGUUAAAUUUUUGAAUGAAAGGGAAUAUACUUCCAGGUUAUAUACGUUUAUGGAGAGCAGAUUAUGCAAGUAACUUGCUUUUUUUGUCCCCUCCCUGACGAGCCAACUUGACAACAAUCAGACAGUAUAGACAAGUAAUAGAUGCAUACCAAACAAAUUUUUGACCGAAUAGGCAUAACUAGACAGAUUUUGUACAUGUAAACGUCUAGAUAUAAUCUGGAAUUAAUACAAAACGUAUUCCGUCUACAUUUUGCCAGAAGUUGUCGCAAAAAUAUUGCGUCGAGAUUAUGGCCAAGUCUAGUCCAGAUUAUUUAGAUAGAAUCCAUUCAGAUUUAGUCUAAGAUUUAUUCAGAAAAUCAAUUUACUCUUUAUUAAAAAUUUUUGAAAACAAAUCAAAAUAUUUAAUAAUUCAAGGCAGUAAUUUAUUUAAAUUAUAUCUAAGGCAUAUUCAACCCUGAUCGGCCAACUUGGCAAAAAUUAGACAAUACGGACAAAUGCUAGAUGUAUAUUUGAGACAAUAUUUGAUCGAAUAGACAGAUUUUGUACUAAACGUCCAAAUACAGCCUGGAAUUAAUAUAAAAUGUUCAGUAUAAUUAGUGUGCGGCGCCGCCGGUAGGCCAUUAGGCGAUUCUGUCAGGAGUAAAGUGCAGCCGACGCGCUACAUAAAGAUCACCUGCAGCACAAUUGAGGCAAGCAAUAAUCAACUUUCUUCGCUACGAGAGGACGAUGUGACAAGAGAACCGUCACAUCUAAAAAUGAGGCUACUGGAUGGACCCGUUGCGCACGGACAUGCACACGAAUCCGUUUGUGCUAGGACCUGAUUGCACACGAUACGAUUCCGCAUCGCAGAUAAUACAUGGGUAGAAAUCCUGAAAGGAGAGACUGGCAUAAGUGGACAAACUUUUAAUUGGCUUGGUACAGAAUGGCGGAGCCAAUCAAUGAUAAGUAGAAACGCGGAAAAUUUAAAUAGAAGUUUAAGAAAUAAAAGCAAA